GAGUUUGAUCAUGGCUCAGAUUGAACGCUGGCGGCAUGCCUUACACAUGCAAGUCGAACGGCAGCAUGAUCUAGCUUGCUAGAUUGAUGGCGAGUGGCGAACGGGUGAGUAAUACAUCGGAACGUGCCUUGUAGUGGGGGAUAACUAGUCGAAAGAUUAGCUAAUACCGCAUACGACCUGAGGGUGAAAGUGGGGGACCGCAAGGCCUCAUGCUAUAGGAGCGGCCGAUGUCUGAUUAGCUAGUUGGUGGGGUAAAGGCCCACCAAGGCGACGAUCAGUAGCUGGUCUGAGAGGACGAUCAGCCACACUGGGGGCUGAGACACGGCCCAGGACUCCUACGGGAGGCA
rnacentral:rRNA from 1 species